rnacentral:rRNA from 1 species
AACGAACGCUGGCGGCAUGCCUAACACAUGCAAGUCGAACGAGACCUUCGGGUCUAGUGGCGCACGGGUGCGUAACGCGUGGGAACCUGCCCUUAGGUUCGGAAUAACUCCCCGAAAGGGGUGCUAAUACCGGAUAAAGUCUUCGGACCAAAGAUUUAUCGCCUUUGGAUGGGCCCGCGUUGGAUUAGCUAGUUGGUAGGGUAAAAGCCUACCAAGGCGACGAUCCAUAGCUGGUCUGAGAGGAUGAUCAGCCACACUGGGACUGAGACACGGCCCAGACUCCUACGGGAGGCAGCAGUGGGGAAUAUUGGACAAUGGGCGAAAGCCUGAUCCAGCAAUGCCGGGUGAGUGAUGAAGGCCUUAGGGUUGUAAAGCUCUUUUACCCGGGAUGAUAAUGACAGUACCGGGAGAAUAAGCACCGGCUAACUCCGUG